AUCNGUAGCNUGAUCUAUAAGUUUCCGGUUAAAUCCACAUGCUCAACAUUUGGGCUGCCGGAAAAACUGUAGAUCUAGGGGGUGGGAGAGGUAGACGGUACUCGGUAGGAAGGGGUAAAAUCCUUUGAUCUAUUGAUGACCACCAGUGGCGAAGGCGGUCUACCAGAACACGUUCGACGGUGAGGGAUGAAAGCUGGGGGAGCAAACCGGAUUAGAUACCCGGGUAGUCCCAGCUGUAAACGAUGCAGACUCGGUGAUGCAUUGGCUUGUGGCCAGUGCAGUGCCGCAGGGAAGCCGUUAAGUUUGCCGCCUGGGAAGUACGUACGCAAGUAUGAAACUUAAAGGAAUUGGCGGGGGAGCACCACAAGGGGUGAAGCCUGCGGUUCAAUUGGAGUCAACGCCAGAAAUCUUACCCGGAGAGACAGCAGAAUGAAGGUCAAGCUGAAGACUUUACCAGACAAGCUGAGAGGUGGUGCAUGGCCGUCGCCAGCUCGUGCCGUGAGAUGUCCUGUUAAGUCAGGUAACGAGCGAGACCCUUGCCUCUAGUUGCCACCAUUGCUCUCUGGAGCAGUGGGGCGAAUUAGCGGGACCGCCGCAGUUAAUGCGGAGGAAGGAAAGGGCUACGGCAGGUCAGUAUGCCCCGAAACUCUGGGGCCACACGCGGGCUGCAAUGGUAGUGACAAUGUGUUCCAAACCUGAAAGGGGGAGGUAAUCAUCAAACGCUACCACAGUUAUGACUGAGGGCUGCAACUCGCCCUCACGAAUAUGGAAUCCCUAGUAACUGCGUGUCAUUACCGCGCGGUGAAUACGUCCCUGCUCCUUGCACACACCGCCCGU
rnacentral:rRNA from 1 species